UGGGGAAUCUUGGGCAAUGGGGGCAACCCUGACCCAGCGACGCCGCGUGAGUGAGGAAGGUCUUCGGAUCGUAAAGCUCUGUCGGAUGGGAAGAAAUGUAUGGGAGUGAACAGCUUUCAUGCUUGACGGUACCAUCAGAGGAAGCACCGGCUAACUCCGUGCCAGCAGCCGCGGUAAUACGGGGGGUGCAAGCGUUGUUCGGAAUCAUUGGGCGUAAAGGGCGUGUAGGCGGCUGGAUAAGUCAGAUGUGAAAUCCCUGGGCUUAACCCAGGAAGUGCAUUUGAAACUGUCCGGCUUGAGUGAGGGAGAGGAAAGUGGAAUUCCUGGUGUAGAGGUGAAAUUCGUAGAUAUCAGGAGGAACACCGGUGGCGAAGGCGACUUUCUGGCCCUAUACUGACGC
rnacentral:rRNA from 1 species